AUCAAUGUUAUCUUUCAAUGUCUAUCAAUGUUAUCUUUCAAUGCCUAUCAAUGCUAUCUUUAAUGUCUAUCAAUGUUAUCUUUCAUGUCUAUCAAUGUUUUCUUUCAAUAUCUAUCAAUGUUAUCUAUCAAUGUCUAUCAAUGUUAUCUUUCAAUGUCUAUCAAUUAUAUCUUUCAAUAUCUUCAUGUUAUCUAUCAAUGUUAUCUUUCAAUUGUCUAUCAAUGUUAUCUUUCAAUGUCUAUCAAUGUUCUUUCAAUGUCUAUCAACGUUAUCUUUCAAUGUCUAUCAAUGUUAUCUUUCAAUGUCUUCCAUGUUUCUUUCAAUGUCUAUCAAUGUUAUCUUUCCUAUCUAUCAAUGUUAUCUAUCAAUGUUAUCUUUCAAUAUCUAUCAAUGUUAUCUAUCAAUGUUAUCUUUCAAUGUCUAUCAAUGUUAUCUUUCAAUGUCUAUCAAUGUUAUCUUUCAAUGUCUAUCAAUGUUAUCUUUCAAUGUCUAUCAACGUUA
rnacentral:lncRNA from 1 species